rnacentral:rRNA from 1 species
AUUGAACGCUGGCGGCAGGCCUAACACAUGCAAGUCGAACGAGUGGCGGACGGGUGAGUAAUGUCUGGGAAACUGCCUGAUGGAGGGGGCUAACUACUGGAAACGGUAGCUAAUCCCGCAUACCAUCGGAUGUGCCCAGCUGGGAUUAGCUAGUAGGUGGGGUAACUGCUCACAGAGGAGACGAUCCCUAGCUGGUCUGAGAGGAUGACCAGACACACUGGGACUGAGACACGGUCCAGACUCCUACGGUAGGCAGCAGUGGGGAAUAUUGCACAAUGGGCGCAAGCCUGAGGCAGCCAUGCCGCGUGUAUGAAGAAGGCCUUCGGGUUGAAAAGUACUUUCAGCGGGGAGGCGUUACCCGCAGAAGAAGCACCGGCUAACUCCGUGCCAGCAGCCGCGGUAAUAC